ACAGUCGUGGCCAUGUGGUUAAGGCGAUGAACUAGAAAUCCACUGGGGUCUCCCCGCACAGGUUCGAAUCCUGUCGACUGCG
rnacentral:tRNA from 2 species